AUUGGUCAGGUGGAGUAAGAUGCGCUCUGAUUGGAGGGGGCGCGGAUGACGCGCGUCACAGAAGGAGGAGACGGAAUGAAGAAGAAAAACAAAGAUGGCGGCGCGAGGCUGCGGUUUUCUCAUCGACUCAGCGGGCGGUUUCUGACGGAGGGAGGGGGGCAGACAGGCAUCGUUUACCUCAGAAAAUACCUUUAAAAUACAUUUCAAAUUAAAGCCGGAACUUUUCAAACAAAAGUUGUGAA